rnacentral:rRNA from 1 species
GAUGAACGCUGGCGGCGUGCCUAAUACAUGCAAGUCGAGCGAAGCGGGGACGGGUGAGUAACACGUGGAUAACCUCCUCUAAGACUGGGAUAACUUUGGGAAACCGGAGCUAAACCGGAUAUUUAUAGUUGGCUCCCCGUUGGAUUAGCUAGUUGGUAAGGUAACGGCUUACAAAGGCAACGAACUAUCCCCGACCUGAGAGGGUGAUCGGCCACACGGGAACUGAAAAACGGCCCAAAGUCCAACGGGAGGCGGCAGUGGGAAUUCUUCCGCAAUGGGCGAAAGCCUGACGAGGCAACGCCGCGUGGGUAAUAAGGGUCUUCGGAUCGUAAGACUCUGUUAUUGAGGAGGCGGUAACUAAUCAGAAAGCCACGGCUAACUACGUGCCAGCAGCCGCGGUAAUUC